UCAAUUAAUUAAUUAUCAGUGGAGCUAUAAAUUGGGAACAUGGCCAUACCACAUUGUCACUUGAUAGUCACACCAAUUUGUAUUGCUUGUGGUUACUCUCUGACUCAAACAACAAUAAUGGAUCCAAAAAUGUAUGAACAAAUUAUGAACUAUAAACAGCAAGGCACAUACCCUGUUGGUAUAAAGAAGGAGCAAAAAUAUAUUAUACGCCGGCGUUCUUCCAACUUCCAAAUUGAUGGUAAGCAAAGUACUUUUGAGUUAAGAUUUUAAAAUAUUUAUUCAUAAAAGAAUUAAAUAACAAUAAUGCUGUUUGAAUAGAUGGAAAACUUUACCACCUUUCAAAAAAAAAUGGCGUGGAGUUAAAAAAACAAGUGGUUGUUGGGGAAAAUGAAGCAAAUGAAAUUUUUCAAGAUUUUCAUGCAAGCUCCCAUGGAGCACACUGUGGAACGGAGAAAACAAAACUUGCCAUUUCAGCCCGAUUUUACUGGCCUGGAAUGGGGGUGGAUAUUGAUAAAUGGGUAAGAUUUAAAUAAUUUCUUUCAAACUUGUUAUGAGAUCUUAAUGGAUUGUUUCUCAUUUGCUUAUUUCUGAUUUUCAGGUUUUGCAGUGUGCUCAAUGCCAGUUUAGUAGGCCAUCCAUAAAACAGGAGCCAAAGUAUAUUCCGAUAUGUGUAUGUAAGCUUGUUCACAUUUUCAAAUACAAGGUGUCACAGCAUUCACAUUUAUUUGUGCUGUUUUUCCUUCCUAAGGUGGAUAGGCCACUAGAACUGUUGGGUAUGGACCUGGUGGGCAAAGUGACCAAAACCGACAAGGGCAACGAAUACAUUUGUGUCAUUGUCGAUUAUUACACCAAAUGGUCAGAGGCGUAUCCCAUACCCAACAAAUCAGCUGCAGUUGUUGCACGCUGUAUCAUUAACUUUUUUUAUAGGUUUGGGGACCAAAGAGGAUCCUAACCGACCAAGGCAGAGAGUUUGUGAACCAGGUUUGCAACUUAUCAAAUUACAUUCAGAAAAUAAGAAUAAAUGUUUUGUGCAAAUCAGAAUUAUACAAACCUUACAUACGUUUUGCAAAUAGAUCAACAAAGACCUCUGUGACUUCCUUGGUGUGGAACGAAGCCUCUGUGCCCCAUACCAUCCACAAACUAACGGCCUUGUGGAAAAACUAAAUGGGACCAUCCAGAAAGCCUUGUGUAAACUUGUGGAGGAGCGACCUGAAAAAUGGGAUGAGUACCUAGAUGCAGUGAUGUUUGGUCUAAGAACUAAGCCACAGCUGACAACUAGGUACUCCCCAUUUUUCCUGAUGUUCGGCUUUGAGGCCCGAUACCCUUCAGAGGUGCCUGAGACAUUUGAGGUAUAUGUUUAGUCUUUUAUUUGGUUUAAAUGACAAAGUGAAAUCAUUUCUAAGUGCUAUAUUUCCUAAAAGGUUAACAGCACAGUGGAAAAUAUAUUAACUGAGGACACCGUGUCAGGGGCCAUUUCUCUAAAAGAGAAAAUUGACCACAUGGUAAAGGAAAAUGUAAAAAAAAAA